GAUGAACGCUGGCGGCGUGCCUAAUACAUGCAAGUCGAGCGAACAGACGAGGAGCUUGCUCCUCUGACGUUAGCGGCGGACGGGUGAGUAACACGUGGAUAACCUACCUAUAAGACUGGGAUAACUUCGGGAAACCGGAGCUAAUACCGGAUAAUAUAUUGAACCGCAUGGUUCAAUAGUGAAAGACGGUUUUGCUGUCACUUAUAGAUGGAUCCGCGCCGCAUUAGCUAGUUGGUAAGGUAACGGCUUACCAAGGCAACGAUGCGUAGCCGACCUGAGAGGGUGAUCGGCCACACUGGAACUGAGACACGGUCCAGACUCCUACGGGAGGCAGCAGUAGGGAAUCUUCCGCAAUGGGCGAAAGCCUGACGGAGCAACGCCGCGUGAGUGAUGAAGGUCUUCGGAUCGUAAAACUCUGUUAUUAGGGAAGAACAAAUGUGUAAGUAACUACGCACGUCUUGACGGUACCUAAUCAGAAAGCCACGGCUAACUACG
rnacentral:rRNA from 1 species